GAUGAACGCUGGCGGCGUGCCUAAUAUAUGCAAGUCGAGCGAACGGACGAGAAGCUUGCUUCUCUGAUGUUAGCGGCGGACGGGUGAGUAACACGUGGAUAACCUACCUAUAAGACUGGGAUAACUUCGGGAAACCGGAGCUAAUACCGGAUAAUAUUUUGAACCGCAUGGUUCAAAAGUGAAAGACGGUCUUGCUGUCACUUAUAGAUGGAUCCGCGCUGCAUUAGCUAGUUGGUAAGGUAACGGCUUACCAAGGCAACGAUGCAUAGCCGACCUGAGAGGGUGAUCGGCCACACUGGAACUGAGACACGGUCCAGACUCCUACGGGAGGCAGCAGUAGGGAAUCUUCCGCAAUGGGCGAAAGCCUGACGGAGCAACGCCGCGUGAGUGAUGAAGGUCUUCGGAUCGUAAAACUCUGUUAUUAGGGAAGAACAUAUGUGUAAGUAACUGUGCACAUCUUGACGGUACCUAAUGAGAAAGCCACGGCUAACUACGUG
rnacentral:rRNA from 1 species